UACGCAAUGCUACAAACACAAGGUUGUUUCCUUCAUUAAGCAACUCGUAUUGUAGAAGUUAUCUGACGCCAUCAGUUGCGUUUACACAAGUGCCUGCUGAAAGAUGGAUGAUGAUGACUUUGGAGGCUUUGAGGCAGCAGAGAGUUAUGAGUUUGGAAAUGGUGAAAAGCAGACCACAUCUCCUGCUAUUGCUUGGGCAGCAUUUCCUACAGUACCUGAAGUCCAUAGAUCUGAUGUUCUCCUGGAGCACUCUGUGCCUUCUUCCUGCCUGCUUCCUUCUGACUCUUUCAUUUUAUCAAGUGAUAAUGUGGCAACAGUUAUUCAAACAGGCAAGAAUGUGAUAAAUCCAGCUGUUCCUGAAGAACAGGCUCAAGCAGAUAUUCUAGUUGCCUCUUCAGAUGCAACUGAAGACAAGACUUCAGCUGAUGUUGAGACAAAGAGAGCAAAUGAACCCAAGAGCUGCCUUCAACAAGCUGUUGCAAACCUUGAAAUCAAGCUCUGCAGUGCUGAAGAAGAAAAACUAAAAAUCAAAAAGGAAUUGGAAUAUUUGCUGGAAAAACAUAGUGUGCUAGAAAUGGAUUUCUUGAAGGAAAAAAAAGAAAAAGUGCUUCCACAUCAAGAUCAUUACAAGACACUCCAGGAAAAGCAUAAACAGGAAUUAGAAGACAUGAGAAAAGCUGGACAUGAAGCCUUAACUAUUAUUGUAGAAGAAUUCAAGGCACUGCUACAAUCUACAGUUCAGCAGCAAGAAGCAGCUAUUGAAAAGCAGUAUAUAUUAACCAUUGAAAAGCAUUCUCACAAAUGUCAGGAGCUCCUUGAUGCUCAGCAUCAGCGACUUCUUGACAUUUUGGAAGCAGAAAAGGAGGUGUUGUCAGAAAAGAUAGAAGAAGCUAUGAUGCAGCAGUCGCAAAAGCACAAGGAACUGCUGGAUAAGUGUUUGGAUGAAGAAAGACAGAGAAGCAAGGAGGCUUUGGCAGCUGCUGCAAAGGCUGAAAAGGAAGUAGUGCAGGAAGCUGUUCUGAAAGCAGUAGAAGAGGAGAGGAGAAAUAUGGAGAAGAUUCAUGCAGAAGAAAGAAAACUGUGGGAAGCAGAACGUGAUAGUCAUAGAGAGAAGAUUGCCCAGGCUGUUUCAGAAGCCAUGCAAGAGCAAAGAAAGCAGAAUCAGGAAAUUGUCAAGGAAGCAUUAAUGGAGGAGCAGAAACGAAGUGAAAAGGCAGUCGAAGAAGCAGUAAAAAGGACAACAGAGGAAUUGAUGGAGUAUAUUAAAGAGCAGAAGAGGUAAUGUGAAACAAGAUAUUGCCGAUGUGAAAAACUGCUGUUCUCUUUGUGGUUGUAUGUGAAAGAGGUUUUACAGCAACUUCUGUGAGUCAGAGAGAAGUUUGAUAAGAGGAUCCAUGUUUAUCCCUGAAAGAAUUUUCUACCAAGGUUGUUGACAUAGAGACCAAGAAAGAAAGAAGGAUAAGUAAAAGAAACCUGCAACUGUCUAUUCCAAGAAGCACUUUGUCUUUCCUGACCACUUGAUGAAGUUGUCCGCCAGAGAAAUCUGCAUAGUUUGGAACUUUUCCUUUCAUGUGCACAGAAACAGUUAAAUGUUUUAUUAAAGGAAGAGCCAACCCCAGCAGAAAACAGAGACUGACAUUCUCAGUGCUGAUGAUACAGUGUGAUUUGUGAAGCUGCAAAUCUCCAUCUAGCAAAUGAUGAAUAUAUUCCAAUCAUUUUGGAUUGUAUCAUUGAGUCAAGAUUGAUCUGAAAUUCUUGAUAGAAAUGUUUGUGGACGAUGUUCUUCUAUUUAUUUAUUUAUUUUACUACUAUUAUCAGAUAGCAAAUAGGAGAGGGAAAAAAAUCCUUGGGAAAAAAAUUGGCUUAUUUAGGAUUUGUUUUAUUUAGGAUUUUGCUUUCAUUAGAUUUUCUAAUAGCCCGUGUCAAAAGUUUCCGUGUUAUGUCUGAAAUUAUGACAUUUCCCUGUUAUGUCUGUUUUAAAUUUGGCACCAUGUGUUAAUGUGAUUUACCAUUAUUUUUGAUAUUUUAAAAAAUGGAGACAAACAUUUAGUUGAUUAUAGGUACAAAUCCAUCUCUAUUUCCAAAGUAUCUACCCGUAAAGUCCAUUGCCUCAGGUGAACCUGAGUAGCUUAUUAUUUCUUACUGCUUUUCUGAUGUAGAAAGGAGAAUCAGUACUGAAACAUAAUAGUGUUGUCAGGCAUUUCUUAAAUAGUUUAUAAACAAAUCCAGUUCUAGGAACAGAAAAAAUUUAAAAACUAAACAGUACAUCUGUUUAGGGUAGUGUAAAACAUUGCCAUGACCAAUGUAUAGUAUGUAUUUUAUUUCUGUUUUACAGAGCUAGUUCAAUUCCAAAAGUCAUUUUCUCAUGAAGUUACGAUUAAUGUGACUGACCUCAGUUUCAGGAAGAAGAUGUAUGUAAUUAUGUGGAGACUGAUACUCACUGCCUCAGUGGAAUUUCUGACAGAAUAAGGAAUGCAGAUUGCUGACCUCACAUGCCCUUUCGAAGUGCAUCCAAGGAAGUAGAAAAACUCCGCACUGACAUUAUUGGACUUUGGAUCACUCAUAGGUCUUUCUAGUCUUGCUGACAGCAGAUGGAGUGGAAUUUCUGUGCCUACAGGCUAUUGAUUGUAGAACUGGGGCCUUAGUUGUAGAAGAUCUCUGAAUGAAAUAAGGGAAAAUAAGUGUUCAUGCUUAGGUACGCAAAUAAACUAAGAAUGAUCUCUCUUA